CCUACGGGAGGCAGCAGUGGGGGAUAUUGCACAAUGGGGGGAACCCUGAUGCAGCGACGCCGCGUGGGUGAAGAAGCGCCUCGGCGCGUAAAGCCCUGUCAGCCGGGAAGAAAAUGACGGUACCUGAAGCAGAAGCUACGGCUAACUACGUGACAGCAGCCGCGGUCAUACGUAGGGGGCAAGCGUUAUCCGGAUUUACUGGGUGUAAAGGGGGCGCAGACGGCGAUGCAAGCCAGGAGUGAAAGCCCGGGGCCCAACCCCGGGACUGCUCUUGAAACUGCUUGGCGGGAGUGCAGGAGGGGCAGGCGGAAUUCCUGGUGUAGCGGUGAAAUGCGUAGAUAUCAGGAGGAACACCGGUGGCGAAGGCGGCCUGCUGGACUGCAACUGACGUUGAGGCCCGAAAGCGUGGGGAGCAAACAGGAUUAGAUACCCCAGUAGUC
rnacentral:rRNA from 1 species